GACGAACGCUGGCGGCGUGCUUAACACAUGCAAGUCGAACGAUGAAGGAGAGCUUGCUCUCCGGAUUAGUGGCGAACGGGUGAGUAACACGUGACUAACCUGCCCCUUUCUCUGGGAUAACGCUCCGAAAGGAGUGCUAAUACCGGAUACGAACUCUGAACCCAUGUUCGGAGUUGGAAAGUUUUUCGGAAAGGGAUGGAGUCGCGGCCUAUCAGCUUGUUGGUGAGGUAACGGCUCACCAAGGCGACGACGGGUAGCCGGCCUGAGAGGGCGACCGGCCACACUGGGACUGAGACACGGCCCAGACUCCUACGGGAGGCAGCAGUGGGGAAUAUUGUACAAUGGGCGAAAGCCUGAUGCAGCGACGCCGCGUGAGGGAUGAAGGUCUUCGGAUUGUAAACCUCUUUCAGUAGGGACGAAGCGAAAGUGACGGUACCUAAAGAAGAAGCACCGGCUAACUACGUGCCAGCAGCCGCAGUAA
rnacentral:rRNA from 1 species